AACUGUUUCCGCAGCCUCCUUCCCCUCUCCAAACGUCACCCCACCUUCUCACAGAUCUUCGCCUAAUCCCUCUUAAUUUCCCUUUAUUUUCACUAAUUUUCUCUUAAUUCAUAUUUAGCGGUCGAAAAAUGAACUCAAUCAGAUCCUCCGCCUUCCCAAUCAUCGGGUUCAUGUUCAUGGCGCUCCUCAGCCUCGGCUACGGCCAGCAGGCGCCAGCUCCUGCUCCCACCAGCUACGGAAUGGCGAUCGAUCAGGGAAUCGCUUACACGCUUAUGAUGGUGGCGCUUGCAAUUACGUACCUCAUGCAUUAAGAGAUUGAUUUUCUCAAAUUUUCUUGGGGCAGAAAAACCGAAUCAGAAUUCACAUUGAGCAUUAUUGUUGUACAUCUGGUGAUAUUAUAAAAAAUUUAUUUAUUUUUUUUUUAAUUUUUUGUGUGUAUUUUUCUCUUAUUCAGAUGGAGAAUUUGCUUUGUAGUUCAAAUAUUAAUAUAAAUUAAUUUAUUAUUAUUAGCUCAA